CAGUAGCCGCGGUAACACGGAGGGGGCUAGCGUUGUUCGGAAUUACUGGGCGUAAAGCGCACGUAGGCGGCUUGGUAAGUUAGAGGUGAAAGCCCAGGGCUCAACCCUGGAAUUGCCUUUAAGACUGCCGAGCUAGCAGGUGAGAGAGGUAAGUGGAAUUCCGAGUGUAGAGGUGAAAUUCGUAGAUAUUCGGAAGAACACCAGUGGCGAAGGCGGCUUACUGGCUCAUACUGGACGCUGAGGUGCGGAAGCGUGGGGAGCAAACAGGAUUAGAGACCCCAGUAGUCCCUGUCUCUUAUAA
rnacentral:rRNA from 1 species